AUUGAACGCUGGCGGCAGGCCUAACACAUGCAAGUCGAGCGCGCGGCGGACGGGUGAGUAAUGUAUGGGGACUGCCCGAUAGAGGGGGAUAACUAUCGGAAACGGUAGCUAAUACCGCAUACUAUCGGAUAACCCAUAUGGGAUUAGCUAGUAGGUGAGGUAAUGGUUCCCCUAGGCGACGAGCCCUCGCUGUUCUGAGAGGAUGAUCAGCCACACUGGGACGGAGACACGGCCCAGACUCCUACGGAGGCAGCAGUGGGGAAUAUUGCACAAUGGGCGAAAGCCGGAUACAGCCAUGCCGCGUGUAUGAAGAAGGCCCUAGGGUUGUAAAGUACUUUCAGUCGGGAGGCGUUACCGACAGAGGAAGCACCGGCUAACUCCGUGCCAGCAGCCGCGGUAAUAC
rnacentral:rRNA from 1 species